AUGGAGCUUUAGACAAAAGGCAGAUUACGUUAAAACCCCUAAACUACCAGGGCUAAACACAGUACUCCCUCGCCAACAUGUCUUCGGUUGGGGCGACCGCGGGGGAAAACCAAGCCCCCAUGUGGACUGGAAAAACCUUUUCCACAGCCAAGAGUUACAACUCUAAGCAACAGAAUUUCUGACCAAAACGAUCCGGCAAACGCCGAUCAACGGACCA
rnacentral:rRNA from 1 species